rnacentral:rRNA from 1 species
GAUGAACGCUGGCGGCGUGCCUAAUACAUGCCAGUCGAGCGAACGGACGAGAAGCUUGCUUCUCUGAUGUUAGCGGCGGACGGGUGAGUAACACGUGGAUAACCUACCUAUAAGACUGGGAUAACUUCGGGAAACCGUAGCUAAUACCGGAUAAUCUUUUGAACCGCAUGGUUCAAAAGUGAAAGACGGUCUUGCUGUCACUUAUAGAUGGAUCCGCGCUGCAUUAUCUAGUUGGUAAGGUAACGGCUUACCAAGGCAACGAUGCAUAGCCGCCCUGAGAGGGUGAUCGGCCAUACUGGAACUGAGACACGGUCCAGACUCCUACGGGAGGCAGCAGUAGGGAAUCUUCCGCAAUGGGCGAAAGCCUGACGGAGCAACGCCGCGUGAGUGAUGAAGGUCUUCGGAUCGUAAAACUCUGUUAUUAGGGAAGAACAUAUGUGUAAGUAACUGUGCACAUCUUGACGGUACCUAAUCAGAAAGCCACGGCUAACUACGUG